GCAGCCGCCGCGGGAAUACGGAGGGUGCAAGCGUUAUCCGGAUUUAUUGGGUUUAAAGGGUCCGUAGGCGGAUCUGUAAGUCAGUGGUGAAAUCUCACAGCUUAACUGUGAAACUGCCAUUGAUACUGCAGGUCUUGAGUAAAUUUGAAGUGGCUGGAAUAAGUAGUGUAGCGGUGAAAUGCAUAGAUAUUACUUAGAACACCAAUUGCGAAGGCAGGUCACUAAGAUUUAACUGACGCUGAUGGACGAAAGCGUGGGGAGCGAACAGGAUUAGAUACCCCCGUAGUCCCUGUCUCUUAUAC
rnacentral:rRNA from 1 species